GUUCACACGAAUGGGGGGAGAAUUUUGGCAGGGGAGAGAUUUUCGGCACAACACCGCCAAAUCGUACCAAUAUAUCCUUCAAACACCGGCGUCGAGGGCAUUAUCACUUUUAUACAACUCAAAUAAUGAUCGAAAUAUUUUCAUUCAAAACGUUAUUUUUUAUUAAUUUAUAAUUUCAUCCUUACACAAGAUAUAGUCCCGAGACCAAUCUAGGGUUGCUAACCAAGCCGGCUGGGCGUUCGUUCUAUUGGUUUGGUUGCCAGAGACGCGACCCAGUUGUUCAGUCUUUUUGUUCUGUAUCUAUGGGCACGACCCAGUCGUUCAUUCUAAAUGUUCCAUUGCCUUACUGGCUGGCAACGUCCUUAUCCCUUGCUUGCUAGCUAGCCAAUUUACAGUCACGUCAAACAGUGCAGACAGAAAAACAACAGUAGCUGCAUUUGUUUAAGCUGUUUUCUAGUGACAUUUAUUUGGAUUCAUCCAUAACAAUGAGCUAAUGUUAUGUGAGGCGCGAUUUCGUCAGGACACUUGUUCAGAGGAGCUAGCCAACACAAUCACUUCACAUUUUAACUGGAAAGACUGCAAACUACAGUAGCUGCACUUUUUUUCAAUUGCCAUUUUGUGAUGCCAGCUGAUUCAUGAUUUCGACUGGCUGAGAAACGCUGCCUGCCUGUCAAUCUCGUCCCGACUCGUUCAUUACUAUGGGACAGCUGUAGAUUGAAUUUGAAUAUUGAAACAAUAUUGCAAAUAUCGGAGAGACAGACAGCAAGGUUUAUACAAAUUGACUUCAGGGUGCAGUUCGCGGCCGGGCUCAAUGUGGGCGGAGUCAAACGUCGGGGCCGGGCUCAAUGUGGGCGGAGUCAAACGCGUUUAACCCAAAACCUUCCCGUCUCCUUCGAGGUCAAGCAAGUUGAGAAACAUUCCUCGGAUCUUGUCCCCUGGACCUUGGAGGACUUUUGUGGAUGAUGAUCAGGGCCUACCAAAGCAAGGUUUCUCAAACAACUGUGGGGUGUUUGUUUUGAUGUACAAUAAAUACAUGAUGAGCACUCAACACACUGCGCCUUGGUCUACUCCCUUCGACGGCCGUUACAGUGCAGAAAACAUGCAGCAAAUUAGGCGAUGUUGAUGCCUUAUUCUCCUGCAGAACUUUCCCAUGCCGCCGGUGGUAGCUGGUCCGCUUCAAGAAGCUGAGGUACGGGAGGUCCCUCCGCACCCCCUGGACAUCGUGGGGGCCCCGGCGUAUGCAGUGCGAUCCAUACUGGAUUCCAGGCCUCAGGUGAGGGGCCUGCAGUACCUUGUGGAUUGGGAGGGGUAUGGUCCAGAGGAGAGAUGCUGGGUGCCGGUGGAGGAUGUCUUGGACCCAUCUCUGCUUAGUGAGUUUCACCGCCUCCAUCCGGAUCGCCCUGCGCCAAGUCCUCCGGGUCGUCCUCGAGGCCGGAGCCGCGCGUCAGGGGUGGUACUGUCACAACUUCCACCGAAGGUGGCUCCUCUCCCUGUUCGGGCGGUGCUCGGCGGUCGUUGUUGCCGGCCUACUAGCUGCUACCGAUGCAUUUUUCGUUUGUGUCUGUCUGUUUUGUUUACACCUGUGUCCUAUUAGUUAAUUUCGGUUGGUUUAUUAACCUCCGCUGCCUGCUAUUCUUUGUGCGGGAUUAUUUGCUGUUGUUGCUCUGCUAGGGGUGCGUGUUUGCACCACAGGGUUUUCUUCCUCACGGUUGUGUUGUACCGUUUGUAGUGUAUUUAGGAGUAGAGGUUUCUCCUCCGUGUGUUACGUUUAUUUCCCUGUGUGUGGCGACUUGGUUGGGUGUGUUUCCCCACCUGUUGUUGUCGUGUUUUGGGACGUUCAAUAAACGAUUGUGCUACUGGAAAUUCCUUGCUCUCCUGCUCCUGACUCCUGCACCUACCUCUUCUUAGGAGGCACCUAACGAG
rnacentral:lncRNA from 1 species